GCUGGGCGUGAUGGCUCACGCCUGUAAUCCCAGCACUUUGGGAAGCUGAGGCAGGUGUAUCACCUGGGGUCAGGAGUUCGAGACCAGCCUGGCCAACAUGGUGACAGCCUGUCUCUA
ensembl:misc_RNA Metazoa_SRP Metazoan signal recognition particle RNA